CCUACGGGAGGCACCAGUGAGGAAUAUUGGACAAUGGGAGCAAUCCUGAUCCAGCCAUGCCGCGUGCAGGAAGACUGCCCUAUGGAUUGUAAACUGCUUUUACAGAGGAAGAACCACUCCCACGUGUGGGGGUUUGACGGUACUCUGCGAAUAAGGAUCGGCUAACUCCGUGCCAGCAGCCGCGGUAAUACGGAGGAUCCAAGCGUUAUCCGGAAUCAUUGGGUUUAAAGGGUCCGUAGGCGGGAUGAUAAGUCAGUGGUGAAAGUCUGCAGCCUAACUGUAGAAUUGCCAUUGAAACUGUUGUUCUUGAGUUAUUAUGAAGUGGUUAGAAUGAGUAGUGUAGCGGUGAAAUGCAUAGAUAUUACUCAGAAUACCGAUUGCGAAGGCAGAUCACUAAUAAUACACUGACGCUGAUGGACGAAAGCGUAGGUAGCGAACAGGAUUAGAUACCCUGGUAGUCUACGCCGUAAACGAUGGUUGCUAGCUGUCCGGACCAAUUGCGGUCUGGGUGGUUAAGCGAAAGUGAUAAGUAACCCACCUGGGGAGUACGUUCGCAAGAAUGAAACUCAAAGGAAUUGACGG
rnacentral:rRNA from 1 species